rnacentral:rRNA from 1 species
CCUACGGGGGGCAGCAGUGAGGAAUAUUGGUCAAUGGGCGGGAGCCUGAACCAGCCAAGUCGCGUGAGGGAAGACGGUCCUAUGGAUUGUAAACCUCUUUAGGCGGGGAGCAAUGCCGGGCACGCGUGCCCGGCGGGAGAGUACCCGCAGAAUAAGCAUCGGCUAACUCCGUGCCAGCAGCCGCGGUAAUACGGAGGAUGCGAGCGUUAUCCGGUUUUAUUGGGUUUAAGGGGUGCGUAGGGGGAUUUUUAGGUCAGGGGUAAAAUGUCCGGGCUAAACCCGGGCCGGCCGUUGAAACUGGGGGGCUUGAGUGUGGGAGAGGUAGGCGGAAUGGGUGGUGUAGCGGUGAAAUGCAUAGAUAUCAGAAAGAACACCGGUGGCGAAGGCGGCCUGCUGAGCUACAACUGACGUUGAGGCCCGAAAGCGUGGGGAGCAAACAGGAUUAGAUACCCGAGUAGUC